rnacentral:rRNA from 1 species
UACGAGAGCCUCGAGCGUUAUCCGGAAUUAUUGGGCGUAAAGGGUGCGUAGGUUGUUCUGUUAGUCUUUUGUUAAAAACCCCGGGGCUUAACUUCGGGAUUGCGGGAGAAACGGCAGAACUUGAAAGUGCGAGAGGUGUACGGAACUCAUGGUGUAGGGGUGAAAUCCGUUGAUAUCAUGGGGAACACCAAAAGCGAAAGCAGUACACUGGCGCAUAUUUGACACUGAAGCACGAAAGCGUGGGUAGCGAAUGGG